rnacentral:rRNA from 1 species
UACGAAGGGGGCUAGCGUUGCUCGGAUUGACUGGGCGUAAAGGGCGCGUAGGCGGCUUGUACAGUCAGACGUGAAAUUCCUGGGCUCAACCUGGGGGCUGCGUUUGAUACGUAUGGGCUUGAGUUCGGAAGAGGGUCGUGGAAUUCCCAGUGUAGAGGUGAAAUGCGUAGAUAUCGGGAGGAACACCUGUGGCGAAAGCGGCUCACUGGACCAUAACUGACGCUGAUGCACGAAAGCUGGGGGAGCAAACAGG